CGGUUGGUAAAUAAAAAUUCCAAAAGAGGGGUUCCCGGAUUUUAGCUAUUGCCAGGGUCUUUCAAUCGAUUUUGCCCUUAUUUGGCAUUACAUGUGUGUUAAGGUUACUUUUAAAGGUUCGGAAGAAUUUUCCGAGGAUAUGAAUCCCUUUCUUACUUAAUUUUAAAUUCGCUCCACUAUUUUGUAUAGCCCGCAUAUUACAGUGCCUCUUCAUAUUCGGCAUUUCACUGAUUGCAGUCUCAAUGAAUUUUGCAUUUUAAGUUCUCAUUGGAUGGAUUUUUUCCAUAUCUAGUCAAUUUCUUGGAGUUUUGGAUCUCAGAUUCCAUGGUACAAUAAAAAGGUAAGGUUGAGCUCCCAGCUGAUUACAAUUUUUUUCUAAGUGUGCCCGACUUCUGCCAAUUUUGUGUAUGUAUUUGUUGCUUUGAAAAAUAAAAACAAAAUAUUUUCAAAAUCAAUGAUUGGAAGAAACUUAAAUUGCGGGGCGCGCAUUAAUAAUAUUAACGAGAUUUACCAUGAAAUUGAAAGAUUGAACACUAAGGAUCAUAUUUUUGAUAGAACAUCCAGGCAUUUCAUUCAUCUUUCGCGUUAUUUGACUCAUUUUAAAAAUAAACAAAAAAUAUCAAAUAAAUUAAAACAACUUGUUGCCUAUAAUUUUGAAUAAUUCUGACAGGAAGCGGGCGUAGCCUCAGGGCUGUAUUUCUGCAGUUUGUUGCGUUCAUCCUCAUUGUAAAAUUUUUAUAAUGUGCAAUUUAAUGCACCGAACGUGCUGAACGCCAGCCAAAAAAGAGAACCGGAUACGCAGGGCGGCCGGCUAAAUUUUAAAAAGUGAUGCCAAGUUUCAUGUUGUUUAUUGUACAACAUGAGAGACGUGUGGCAAAAAUACAACACUGGGGAUAAUAGUGGGUAGGUAGAACACCUGAUAAAGGUAAAUAAUAAAUGUCAGGGAAAUUGUGGGAAAAUCUUGGAAAAGAGGGAAAGUUUGGUUGAGCGUCCUUGGUGGCCGUAUAUAAAGCACAGAGAGGGCGAAAAGCGCCAUUAUUUCAAAGUGGUGUGGAACAGAAACAGUUCAGUCAAUUUUUAAAUGUUUUUUUUUGUGAAUAAAAAAAAAGGAAAUACUGAAUUGGCAGUUACAAUUUGUGUGUUUUAUUGUUUUAUUUGUGUGGCGUAUCUAAACAAUUUGAAUAACGCCGCGCAUAAAUCCACAAUUGGACAACGCCAUCCGACUUGGACGAAAAAGAAGCGGGCAUCCCCAACAAUUAUUUUUGUAUCGCCAGGUGCGGCACAGGGGUUCCAGGCAACGAAAAGGUUCUGGAAACGGCCAAAAGACCUGGGAUACUGCCAGUGAAUAGCCCUUGGAACAGGCAACAUUACCAAUCCGGGAAGCUAACCAGUAGAUCCCACCUAAAAAUC